AUUAGCUAGUUGGUGAGGUAAUGGCUCACCAAGGCGACGAUCCCUAGCUGGUCUGAGAGGAUGAUCAGCCACACUGGAACUGAGACACGGUCCAGACUCCUACGGGAGGCAGCAGUGGGGAAUAUUGCACAAUGGGCGCAAGCCUGAUGCAGCCAUGCCGCGUGUGUGAAGAAGGCCUUCGGGUUGUAAAGCACUUUCAGCAGUGAGGAAGGCGGGUACGUUAAUAGCUGUAUUGUUUGACGUUAGCUGCAGAAGAAGCACCGGCUAACUCCGUGCCAGCAGCCGCGGUAAUACGGAGGGUGCGAGCGUUAAUCGGAAUUACUGGGCGUAAAGCGCAUGCAGGUGGUUCGUUAAGUCAGAUGUGAAAGCCCGGGGCUCAACCUCGGAACUGCAUUUGAAACUGGCGGACUAGAGUACUGUAGAGGGGGGUAGAAUUUCAGGUGUAGCGGUGAAAUGCGUAGAGAUCUGAAGGAAUACCGGUGGCGAAGGCGGCCCCCUGGACAGAUACUGACACUCAGAUGCGAAAGCGUGGGGAGCAAACAGGAUUAGAUACCC
rnacentral:rRNA from 1 species